AAAAUCCGUCGACUUUAAAAAUCGUGAGGGUUCAAGUCCCUCUAUCCCCAAGAAAAAG
rnacentral:tRNA from 8 species